rnacentral:lncRNA from 1 species
GAUCAGUUCGAAUAUUUAAUACUCGAAAAAGAUUUAAAAUAUCCAAAAAUCCAAAAAAUAUGCGAAAACUCAAAAAAUAUCUGAUAUAAAAACGUACCCGAAAACUCAAACGAAUACCCAAAAAUAUGUCAUAUUAUACAACUUUGUAAUAUAAUAAUUUACAACAAUUACAAAAUACUAUUUCCUAUCAAAAUUUAUUUAUAAUCCAAAAUAACCCGCGCUUUCAAAGCGCGGGUCAAAAUCUAGUAAGAACUUGAAAACUAAAAAACUAAAAAAAAAGCCUAACCAUCUUAAUAUGUAUACAAAUGUUGAACAUUACUGAAUACACGGAGUGAGUCAAAGUUUCACACACAUCUCCAAAUUUCCAAAUGGACAUGCCUGAAAAACAAAU